rnacentral:rRNA from 1 species
AGAGUUUGAUCCUGGCUCAGAACGAACGCUGGCGGCGUGCUUAACACAUGCAAGUCGAACGAGAAAGGCCCCUUCGGGGGACGAGUAGAGUGGCGCACGGGUGAGUAACGCGUAGGUAAUCUACCCUUAUACCUGGGAUAACAUUGGGAAACUGGUGCUAAUACCGGAUACACUUCUUAGCUGCGGGGCAAAGGAGGAAAGGUGACCUCUUGGUCAAAGUUACCGUACAGGGAUGAGCCUGCGUACCAUUAGCUAGUAGGUGAGGUAACGGCCCACCUAGGCGACGAUGGUUAGCGGGUCUGAGAGGAUGAUCCGCCACACUGGAACUGGAACACGGACCAGACUCCUACGGGAGGCAGCAGUGAGGAAUAUUGCGCAAUGGGGGAAACCCUGACGCAGCGACGCCGCGUGAGUGAGGAAGGCCUUCGGGUCGUAAAGCUCUGUCAGAAGGGAAGAAGUGUUAUACGGUUAAUACCCGUAUAAUUUGACGGUACCUUCAGAAGAAGCACCGGCUAACUCUGUGCCAGCAGCCGCGGUAAUACAGAGGGUGCAAGCGUUAAUCGGAAUUACUGGGCGUAAAGCGCGCGUAGGCGGUUUGGUCAGUCGGAUGUGAAAGCCCCGGGCUUAACCUGGGAAUUGCAUUCGAUACUGCCAGACUAGAGUGUAGUAGAGGGAAGCGGAAUUCCAGGUGUAGCGGUGAAAUGCGUAGAUAUCUGGAGGAACAUCAGUGGCGAAGGCGGCUUCCUGGACUAACACUGACGCUGAGGUGCGAAAGCGUGGGGAGUAAACAGGAUUAGAUACCCUGGUAGUCCACGCCGUAAACGAUGUCAACUAGACGUUGGGGGGUUUAACCCUUUAGUGUCGCAGCUAACGCGAUAAGUUGACCGCCUGGGGAGUACGGCCGCAAGGUUAAAACUCAAAGGAAUUGACGG